CCUUGACAAUUUGUUGUUGACCGCCAAGUUUAUGUGUCACUCCGACAGUCUGAAGCGAAGUCUGAGAUUUCGGUUUCCCAACAGUCACAACGUUGCUUGUCCCAGAUGAGGGUGUGCUUACCAAACGUAUUCUUAUCACCUGGCUGCCGCCAAGGACGGUGCCAGGCUUGAGCGAGCUCUGGAGGAAAAAACACAAAAUUUAUAUUUUCGACAAAUUGAGGUUCGUAUUUUAAUUCCGAAAUUACUUCUUCGACUCUUGGCCUCAUCGGCGCUUUUACUGUCUUCCCAAUUGUUUUAUUGUCUUCCCAAUUCUCGUAGCGUAAGUCUGAGUAUAGAGUUACGAAACGGAGAGAAAACUGAGUUUUUAAGGUUCUCUGUGGAGCAUCAAACAAAUUGCAGGGAAUUUUUUAAGGUA
rnacentral:misc_RNA from 1 species